AUGGCGCAGUUCACGUGGAAGUCCAAAACUCCUCUGAGAUGCCGAUUCUUUACUUGGCUCGUAUUUCAUAACAGAUGCUGGACCUCGGAUAGACUGGCGAGCCGAGGAUUGGACCAUCAGGAAGCAUGCCCUUUCUGUGACCAAGUGGAGGAAAGUAUCAAUCACAUAAUGCUACAGUGUGCCUUGGCGAGGGAAGUGUGGCUGCGUGUCUGUACAGCUUGGGGAAAGCCAGAAUGGGUUCCGACAACAACAUCACUACUAGGGGAGUGGUGCACGGCCACCGCGGAAUGCGCCUGGGAAAAAGGAUGCACGGGCACUAAUCAUACUUGUAAUGUGGGAGCUAUGGAAGUAUCGGAAUGGCAUCGUGUAUGA
rnacentral:rRNA from 1 species